CCUACGGGAGGCAGCAGUGGGGAAUAUUGCACAAUGGGGGAAACCCUGAUGCAGCGAUGCCGCGUGGAGGAAGAAGGUUUUCGGAUUGUAAACUCCUUUUAUCAGGGACGAUAAUGACGGUACCUGAAGAAAAAGCUCCGGCUAACUACGUGCCAGCAGCCGCGGUAAUACGUAGGGAGCGAGCGUUGUCCGGAAUUACUGGGUGUAAAGGGUGCGUAGGUGGUUUAGUAAGUUGGCGGUGUAAUUCCGGGGCUCAACCUCGGCGCUACCGCCAAAACUAUUAGACGAGAGUGCAGGAGGGGUAAGUGGAAGUCCUAGUGUAGCGGUGGAAUGCGUAGAUAUUAGGAGGAACAUCAGGGGCGAAGGCGACUUACUGGACUGUAACUGACACUGAGGCACGAAAGCGUGGGGAGCAAACAGGAGUAGAUACCCCUGUAGUC
rnacentral:rRNA from 1 species